rnacentral:lncRNA from 1 species
UUUAUCUGCCUGGUUUGCUAAUGGCUUUUGAUUUCUAAGAUGGCAAGGAUGGCCUGCAAUGGCGAGUGUCAAGCCACUUGACGAGUAUAUUAUUCUCACAGCCAAACUGAUCGUGGCAUGGGAGGGCUUGUCUUGUGCACAAAUGGUGAUGGGUGUUCGCCAUGAAUUGAUUCAAGAGACUUACUAUGAAUAUUGGGGA